CAUGGGGGGAAAACUAAACAAGUUUCCAGGAGCACAUCAGAGCCAAACAUUGAAUUAAGCCAGCUGCACUGAUACAAAGAGAUUAAAAGAGCUCUAUUCAAGAGAAUGUCAAAUGUCCAAAGUCAAAGAGAGGAAGUGAUGGAAAUGUUUCAAUUUCUCAACUUCAAAGACCUUCAACUAACUCAGAGCACUUCAGAAGUUCUUGCCACCAACAUCAUCAGAGCCAUGAGAAGUGGAAGUCAAAGGGUACAUUUGACUUCAAAACAAUGACAUAAACGAUAUCAUAAAAGGAAUCAGCACAUCAAACAUCCUCAAACUUUUCUUUCAAAUGGAGUCAAGACCCCUCAGUGCAGAGAGUCAGCAUCAAACUGAUGACAUGGGGAUGGCUGAAGUGAAGUAAUGUUUUGUCUAAUUUGUUGUCUUCAAAAGACCUCACUAUAAUCAUGCUGUAGAAAGACUCCCCAGUGGGUAAUAACAAAAUUAUUCUGUAUUCUGUAAAAGAUUUUCA